rnacentral:rRNA from 1 species
AAAAAGUCGUAACAAGGUCUCCGUUGGUGAACCAGCGGAGGGAUCAUUACCGAGUUUACAACUCCCAAACCCCUGUGAACAUACCUUAUGUUGCCUCGGCGGAUCAGCCCGCGCCCCGUAAAAAGGGACGGCCCGCCGCAGGAACCCUAAACUCUGUUUUUAGUGGAACUUCUGAGUAUAAAAAACAAAUAAAUCAAAACUUUCAACAACGGAUCUCUUGGUUCUGGCAUCGAUGAAGAACGCAGCAAAAUGCGAUAAGUAAUGUGAAUUGCAGAAUUCAGUGAAUCAUCGAAUCUUUGAACGCACAUUGCGCCCGCCAGUAUUCUGGCGGGCAUGCCUGUUCGAGCGUCAUUUCAACCCUCAAGCCCAGCUUGGUGUUGGGAGCUGCAGUCCUGCUGCACUCCCCAAAUACAUUGGCGGUCACGUCGAGCUUCCAUAGCGUAGUAAUUUACACAUCGUUACUGGUAAUCGUCGCGGCCACGCCGUUAAACCCCAACUUCUGAAUGUUGACCUCGGAUCAGGAGGAAUA